UACGUAGGGUGCAAGCGUUAAUCGGAAUUACUGGGCGUAAAGCGUGCGCAGGCGGCUUUGCAAGACAGAUGUGAAAUCCCCGGGCUUAACCUGGGAACUGCAUUUGUGACUGCAUGGCUGGAGUGCGGCAGAGGGGGAUGGAAUUCCGCGUGUAGCAGUGAAAUGCGUAGAUAUGCGGAGGAACACCAGUGGCGAAAGCGACUUUCUGGUCCUUAACUGACGCUGAGGCGCGAAAGCAUGGGGAGCGAACGGG
rnacentral:rRNA from 1 species